ensembl:lncRNA
ACACAGACGGCAGGGAAACAUAGAGAGAAGGGGGAAGCCUGUAGCCCCCUGGCUGGGUCCUUCCAUCUGAGUCUCAAGGGAGGUUCCAGCUUUAGAGCACCAGCUGAACCCAAUCCCAUCAGGAGCCCUCAGAGCUACUGAAAGGACAGAAACCUCAGGGCCGGCAAAGGGGUUACUCCAAAGAGCUUACCUUGAAAGCAUCCUGGGCCAGUCUCCGGGCAUUCAACACAGACUGUAGAGGAGGAGUUUUGUUUUGUUUUUUUUGGUCCGGGGAGCAUUGGGCCCACAUCAGCUGAACUUAAUCCUCUCAGGAGCCCUCAGAACCCAGGGAGGCCAAGACCCCUCCCCACUUAGAGAGCAGGGUCUUUGGAAAGAACAGAAACCUCAGGGGUUGCUCCAAUGGGCAUUCCUUGAAAGCAACCUGGGCCAGUCUCUGGGCAUUCAAAACAGAUUGUGGAGGAUAUUCUGGAAAGCAAGGAACUAGGUCUAAAACCAAGAAUAAAAUACCCAUCAAAACUGACUAUAUUCUUACAGGGGAAAGUAUGGUCAUUCAACACAACAGAAGAGUUCCAAGCAUUCAUAAAUAAAAGACCAGACCUGAACAGAAAAUUUGAUGUCCAACCACAGAACUCAAGAGAAUCGUCAAAAGGUACAACAGAAAAUGAGAAUGGAAGUAGAGAAGACAGUGCCAAAAGGAGCAAGACCACAUGGCAGCAUGAAAUGCCAACUGACAAGAGAGACAAAAAUUAGAGGACCAAUAACAUCAUGGAGAGAUGUCUUGGUUUGAGAAUGAAUUGGAUUUAAGUGAGGAAGAGUUGCACAAAGUCAUCAGCCUCACUUCAAGAGUCGCCCAAGUCCGGCGGCAAGGCGAAAAUCAAGAUGACUGGCACUAGCCUGGGAGGCAAUGGAUGACCUUGGCAUCUUCAAUGUCUAACCAAGCUCUAGGCAUUCCACACGACCUGCUUCAGCCACCUUCAUGACUGUUGGAGCAAAUUGUUCUAAUCCACCCAUUCCUUUGGGGAAAGUUCUCACAUGCUCGCGACAGACAUCCUCCUAACUCACCAACAGGUUUGAGGACUAUUGGUUACCAUCAGCCUGGUUUAGCCUAUCAGCUAAGAUAGUUUCAACUGGGGCUGGCCAUUAUGUAUGCUAUAGCUUCUUGGAGCUACAGGCGAGACUUGGGUGAAAGGUAGACACCAAAGAUGGAAGGAGUAGCCCUGAAAAGGGCUUGGCAAGCCCUCCUACCAGAAAUGCCAGUCCUCUCUGAACACGCCAUACCCCAAGACUUUCUAACCCAAUAGGAAACAGAGCUUGGUUUCAGAACCAGGACCUCUGGCUCCAAAUACAGCAGAGGUGGUGGUGGCGGUGGCGGUGGUGGUGUUUUAAAUCCUGUGCCAUACCCUCCCUCAUAGACAUCCUUUAGCUAUGCCAAAUUGGCCAAAGACAUGCAAGGCUAGUUGAAUUUUGAUGAAUUGGCACUUGAAUAUAUAGGCUGUCCCUCGUGGACAAUAAUUCAAUAAACAUAAACUGAAUUCCUUCUGUAUGCCGGAU